GGUGACUCCAUGGACUGUGUCUGUUGCCAGUGGCUAUUCUUUGUUGAGGGAUCCCCACCACAACAAAGGGCUUGCAUUCAGCAACAAAGAGCGGGAUGCUCAUUACUUGACCGGCCUGCUACCACCAACAUGUGUGUCUCAAGACCUUCAGGUAAAGAAGAUGAUGCACAAUAUUCGUCAGUACCAAGUCCCCCUGCAGCGUUACAUGGCUAUGAUGGACCUUCAGGAGAUGAACGAGAGACUAUUCUACAAGCUCCUGAUCGAUCAUGUCGAGGAGUUACUUCCAGUUGUUUACACCCCGACUGUCGGCGAGGCUUGCCAGAAGUAUGGCAGUAUUUUCAGGCGGCCGCAGGGCCUCUACAUCAGCUUAAAAGAAA
rnacentral:misc_RNA from 1 species